AGAGUUUGAUCCUGGCUCAGGACGAACGCUGGCGGCGUGCUUAACACAUGCAAGUCGAACGAUGAAGCCCUUCGGGGUGGAUUAGUGGCGAACGGGUGAGUAACACGUGGGCAAUCUGCCCUGCACUCUGGGACAAGCCCUGGAAACGGGGUCUAAUACCGGAUAUGACCAUCUUGGGCAUCCUUGAUGGUGUAAAGCUCCGGCGGUGCAGGAUGAGCCCGCGGCCUAUCAGCUUGUUGGUGAGGUAAUGGCUCACCAAGGCGACGACGGGUAGCCGGCCUGAGAGGGCGACCGGCCACACUGGGACUGAGACACGGCCCAGACUCCUACGGGAGGCAGCAGUGGGGAAUAUUGCACAAUGGGCGAAAGCCUGAUGCAGCGACGCCGCGUGAGGGAUGACGGCCUUCGGGUUGUAAACCUCUUUCAGCAGGGAAGAAGCGAGAGUGACGGUACCUGCAGAAGAAGCGCCGGCUAACUACGUGCCAGCAGCCGCGGUAAUACGUAGGGCGCAAGCGUUGUCCGGAAUUAUUGGGCGUAAAGAGCUCGUAGGCGGCUUGUCACGUCGAUUGUGAAAGCUCGGGGCUUAACCCCGAGUCUGCAGUCGAUACGGGCUAGCUAGAGUGUGGUAGGGGAGAUCGGAAUUCCUGGUGUAGCGGUGAAAUGCGCAGAUAUCAGGAGGAACACCGGUGGCGAAGGCGGAUCUCUGGGCCAUUACUGACGCUGAGGAGCGAAAGCGUGGGGAGCGAACAGGAUUAGAUACCCUGGUAGUCCACGCCGUAAACGGUGGGAACUAGGUGUUGGCGACAUUCCACGUCGUCGGUGCCGCAGCUAACGCAUUAAGUUCCCCGCCUGGGGAGUACGGCCGCAAGGCUAAAACUCAAAGGAAUUGACGG
rnacentral:rRNA from 1 species